CGCAUCUGUGCAUGCAGCAUAUCAAUAAGCGGAGGAAAAGAAACUAACAAGGAUUCCCCUAGUAACGGCGAGUGAAGCGGGAAGAGCUCAAAUUUGAAAUCUUAAAGGGUUUCCCUUUACGAAUUGUAGUUUAAAGAAGUGUUUUUGUUGAGGUUUUGGUAAAAGUUCUUUGGAAUAGGACAUCAUAGAGGGUGAGAAUCCCGUAUUUGACCUUUACUUUCAACUUUGUGAUACACUUUCAAAGAGUCGGAUUGUUUGGGAAUGCAGUCCAAAAUGGGUGGUAAAUUUCAUCUAAAGCUAAAUAUUGGCGAGAGACCGAUAGCGAACAAGUACCGUGAGGGAAAGAUGAAAAGAACUUUGAAAAGAGAGUUAAACAGUACGUGAAAUUGUCAAAAGGGAAGCGUUUGACACCAGUGUUGUUUUUCUGAAAAUCAAUUAAAGAACUGUUUAUGCUAAGUUGUUUAGACUUUAUCAGCUAACUGUUUAGUUUUGAGCUUUUCUUUAAUGCACUUUUCAGUUAACAAGUCAACAUCAAUUUCUUUUGCUGUAAAAAAGCUUGAGGAAGGUGGCUUGAGAUUCGUCUUAAGUGUUUAUAGCCUCUUGCCUAUGCAGUCGGAGAGAUUGAGGUCUGCAGCGUAGAUCCUUCGGGGCUAAAUGCAUUUGUGCUAAGUUAUAGCAUUUUAUAGACAACUUGUUGACUAUGAUUUGUCUUGUAGCUUACUCGCUUAUGUUAUUUUACCUACGCUUAGGAUGUUGAGCGCAUGUCUCUCUCU
rnacentral:rRNA from 1 species